AUACUAGGUUUGGUAAUACAUAUAUUAAAAUUGAAAUGAUACAGAGGUUAGCAUGGUCCUUGCACAGAGAUGACAUGAAAUCUUGUAAAGCGUUCCAUAUUUUU